ensembl:lncRNA
CCGUCACACCCAUAUGAAGGCCUUCCUCACACUUGCUACAAAGCACACGAUUGUCUAGAAUGUCUUUGUAUGCUGUAGUAUUACAAUUUCCCUUCACUGGAACUAAGGGGUCCAAACCUGUUCCAGCAUCAGCAGUGUCCCUGUGAACAAAGCGAAAGGGUUCGUUAAGGAGACUGACCUCAACCCCACUGAACCCCUUCGGCAUGAACGGGAACACCGACUUGCCCCCCAGGGCUCAGUAACUGAUCUCAUUAAUGCACAAAUCCCCACAGCCAGAAGAGUACAGGUCAUUAUAACAGCAAAGGAACAGGAUGUUCACAAAGCACAUGGCCCAGGUGAUUGCCAAGGUGAUGGCCAGGUGAUUUGCCAAGGUGGUGGCCAAGGUGUGCCAAGGUGAUGGCCAAGUGAUUGCCAAGCUGAUGGCCAGGUGAUUGCCAAGGUGAUGGCCAGGUGAUUGGCCAGGUGAUUGCCAAG